rnacentral:rRNA from 1 species
AUUGAACGCUGGCGGCAUGCUUUACACAUGCAAGUCGAACGGCAGCGCGGGCUUCGGCCUGGCGGCGAGUGGCGAACGGGUGAGUAAUACAUCGGAACGUGCCCAGUAGUGGGGGAUAGCUCGGCGAAAGCCGGAUUAAUACCGCAUACGACCUGAGGGUGAAAGCGGGGGAUCUUCGGACCUCGCGCUAUUGGAGCGGCCGAUGGCAGAUUAGCUAGUUGGUGGGGUAAAGGCCUACCAAGGCGACGAUCUGUAGCUGGUCUGAGAGGACGACCAGCCACACUGGGACUGAGACACGGCCCAGACUCCUACGGGAGGCAGCAGUGGGGAAUUUUGGACAAUGGGCGAAAGCCUGAUCCAGCAAUGCCGCGUGUGUGAUGAAGGCCUUCGGGUUGUAAAGCACUUUUGGCGGGAACGAAAAGGACUGUGCCAAUACCACGGUUCGAU